CGAACGGGUGAGUAAUGCGUGACCAACCUGCCCCAUGCUCCAGAAUAGCUCUUGGAAACGGGUGGUAAUGCUGGAUGCUCCAACUUGACGCAUGUCUUGUUGGGAAAGUGUUUAGUGGCAUGGGAUGGGGUCGCGUCCUAUCAGCUUGUAGCGGGGUAAUGGCCCACCUAGGCUUCGACGGGUAGCCGGCCUGAGAGGGCGGACGGCCACAUUGGGACUGAGAUACGGCCCAGACUCCUACGGGAGGCAGCAGGC
rnacentral:rRNA from 1 species